UAGAAUAUAGACUAUUUAGGUUAUUUUAUUUACAAUAAAAAGGUGUUUAAUUACUUUUCUUA
rnacentral:tRNA from 1 species